rnacentral:rRNA from 1 species
GUAAUGUCUGGGAAACUGCCUGAUGGAGGGGGAUAACUACUGGAAACGGUGGCUAAUACCGCAUAACGUCGCAAGACCAAAGAGGGGGACCUUCGGGCCUCUUGCCAUCAGAUGUGCCCAGAUGGGAUUAGCUUGUUGGUGAGGUAACGGCUCACCAAGGCGACGAUCCCUAGCUGGUCUGAGAGGAUGACCAGCCACACUGGAACUGAGACACGGUCCAGACUCCUACGGGAGGCAGCAGUGGGGAAUAUUGCACAAUGGGCGCAAGCCUGAUGCAGCCAUGCCGCGUGUAUGAAGAAGGCCUUCGGGUUGUAAAGUACUUUCAGCGGGGAGGAAGGGAGUAAGGUUAAUAACCUUAUUCAUUGACGUUACCCGCAGAAGAAGCACCGGCUAACUCCGUGCCAGCAGCCGCGGUAAUACGGAGGGUGCAAGCGUUAAUCGGAAUUACUGGGCGUAAAGCGCACGCAGGCGGUCUGUCAAGUCGGAUGUGAAAUCCCCGGGCUCAACCUGGGAACUGCAUUCGAAACUGGCAGGCUUGAGUCUUGUAGAGGGGGGUAGAAUUCCAGGUGUAGCGGUGAAAUGCGUAGAGAUCUGGAGGAAUACCGGUGGCGAAGGCGGCCCCCUGGACAAAGACUGACGCUCAGGUGCGAAAGCGUGGGGAGCAAACAGGAUUAGAUACCCUGGUAGUCCACGCCGUAAACGAUGUCUACUUGGAGGUUGUGCCCUUGAGGCGUGGCUUCCGGAGCUAACGCGUUAAGUAGACCGCCUGGGGAGUACGGCCGCAAGGUUAAAACUCAAAUGAAUUGACGGGGGCCCGCACAAGCGGUGGAGCAUGUGGUUUAAUUCGAUGCAACGCGAAGAACCUUACCUGGUCUUGACAUCCACAGAACUUUCCAGAGAUGGAUUGGUGCCUUCGGGAACUGUGAGACAGGUGCUGCAUGGCUGUCGUCAGCUCGUGUUGUGAAAUGUUGGGUUAAGUCCCGCAACGAGCGCAACCCUUAUCCUUUGUUGCCAGCGGUCCGGCCGGGAACUCAAAGGAGACUGCCAGUGAUAAACUGGAGGAAGGUGGGGAUGACGUCAAGUCAUCAUGGCCCUUACGACCAGGGCUACACACGUGCUACAAUGGCGCAUACAAAGAGAAGCGACCUCGCGAGAGCAAGCGGACCUCAUAAAGUGCGUCGUAGUCCGGAUUGGAGUCUGCAACUCGACUCCAUGAAGUCGGAAUCGCUAGUAAUCGUGGAUCAGAAUGCCACGGUGAAUACGUUCCCGGGCCUUGUACACACCGCCCGUCACACCAUGGGAGUGGGUUGCAAAAGAAGUAGGUAGCUUAACCUUCGGGAGGGCGCUUACCACUUUGUGAUUCAUGACUGGGGUGAAGUCGUAACAAGGUAACCGUAGGGGAACCUGC